UACAGAGGUCCCGAGCGUUGUUCGGAUUCACUGGGCGUAAAGGGUGCGUAGGCGGUCGGGUACGUCUGAUGUGAAAUCUCACAGCUUAACUGUGAAACUGCAUUGGAUACUAUCCGGCUCGAGGAAUGGAGGGGAGACUGGAAUACUUGGUGUAGCAGUGAAAUGCGUAGAUAUCGGAAGGAACACCAGUGGCGAAAGCGGCUUCCUGGUCCAGCACCGACGUUCAGGCACGAAAGCGUGGGGAGCAAACAGG
rnacentral:rRNA from 1 species